UACGUAGGGCGCAAGCGUUGUCCGGAAUUAUUGGGCGUAAAGAGCUCGUAGGCGGUCUGUUACGUCCGCUGUGAAAACCCAGGGCUUAACCCUGGGCUUGCAGUGGAUACGGGCAGACUAGAGGUAGGUAGGGGAGAAUGGAAUUCCCGGUGUAGCGGUGAAAUGCGCAGAUAUCGGGAGGAACACCGGUGGCGAAGGCGGUUCUCUGGGCCUUACCCGACGCUGAGGAGCGAAAGCGUGGGGAGCGAACAGG
rnacentral:rRNA from 1 species